AGUGAGUGUUGACAUCUGUCCUAACUCACUUCCCUAAACCACACUCAGCCUUCUCCAGCAAGAUCCAGCGUGAGGACAUCAAGCUGUUUCCUAACAGUGAGUGCCUUGUACACACUAGGCAACUAGCGAACAUUCACUGAUGGAUUAUAAAACAGAGAAGGGGUGGAGAACAUCCAACAUGGGGAUUCUGUGUGCUCUUGUAAGAUGUUUCUGCAGUUCCACCCUCGCCCUUCGCUCGUCCACUCAGGUACUGUCUGAAUUGUCAACUUCAAUUCUUGGGGUGGUUUUACAAGAAGGAACUGGAAGCAGACUCUGCUAUCAAUGAACUUUCAUCGUAAGGAGCCAAAACAGAGGCUGGAGCAAUGAGUCAGUGGUUAAGAGCACUGGCUUGCUCUUCCAGAGAACCCUGGGGUCAAGUUCAAUUCUCAGCAACUAAGGACAGCUUACAACUGUCUGAAAGUCCAGUACCCUCUCUUCUGGCUUCUGUGGGCACCGUAUGUAAGUGGUGCAAAGACAUACACGUGACAAACACCUAAAAUAAUAAAAUAUGCUAUUUCUUUUAAAAGCAGAAGCAAGCACAGAGUGAGGAGUUAUCAUAUAGAAAGGAAGUAUAAGAUCCUGGAGUCCAGAGGGUGGGUAAAGAUAGAGCUAGAAGCCCCCGGGGUCUCCUUAAGGAGGGGGCCCAUGGGCUUGAUAUUCGUUAAGGUCACUGUUACACAGCCAUUCUGCUGUGGAUUGGAAAGAAACACUCGGGCACUGAAAGCUUGACACCCCAGCAUGCUGGUCCUGUUGAGAGACAUGGAUCAUGAGUACACUAACUUCAUCAGUGGAUUAGUUUUCUCAAGGUGUCAGAGCUGAAUGGGCUGUUAGGAGGUAGAACAUGAUUGGAAGUGGGGUUUUAAAGGGUACAGUUUGUGUCUGGCCUCUUCCUUUCUCUUUUUCUUUCUCUCUUUGUCUCUUUGUCUGUCUCUCUGUCUCUCUGUGUCUCUUUCGGUUUCUCUCUGUUUUAUUACCUUGCUGUUUCUUUCUNUCUCUCUCUCUCUCUCUCUCUCUCUCUCUCUUGCUCUUGCUCUCUUUCUCUUGUCUAUGAUGGCGUGAGUCACUAUCUCCAUCACUUGCUUCCUGUCAGGAUGUUCUGCCUCACCCAAAAGCAAUGGACC
ensembl:processed_transcript B430010I23Rik RIKEN cDNA B430010I23 gene